rnacentral:rRNA from 1 species
GCAAAACGCGAAGAACCUUACCUAGGCUUGACAUGCAUCUCUAAGCGCGUGAAAGCGCGUGACCCUUCGGGGGAUUUGCACAGGUGCUGCAUGGCCGUCGUCAGCUCGUGUCGUGAGAUGUUGGGUUAAGUCCCGCAACGAGCGCAACCCUUGUGAACAGUUGCCAGCACUUAAGGUGGGAACUCUGUUCAGACUGCCCAGAUCAACUGGGAGGAAGGUGGGGACGACGUCAGGUCAGUAUGGCCCUUACGCCUAGGGCUGCACACGUACUACAAUGCCCAGCACAAUGAGAAUCGAGACCGCGAGGUGGAGGAAAUCUAAAAAACUGGGCCCAGUUCGGAUUGGAGGCUGCAACUCGCCUCCAUGAAGUUGGAAUCGCUAGUAAUGGCACAUCAGCUACGGUGCCGUGAAUACGUUCCCGGGUCUUGUACACACCG